rnacentral:misc_RNA from 1 species
GACGGAGGGCGCGAGCGUUGUUCGGAAUUACUGGGCGUAAAGCGCGGGCAGGCGGUCCGCUAAGUCUUCUGUGAAAACCCGGGGCUCAACCCCGUGGAAUGCAGGAGAUACUGGCGGACUGGAGACCGGUAGAGGCUAGCGGAAUUCCUGGUGUAGCGGUGGAAUGCGUAGAUAUCAGGAAGAACACCUGUGGCGAAGGCGGCUAGCUGGGCCGGGUCUGACGCUCAUCCGCGAAAGCGUGGGGAGCAAACAGG